UAAUGACCAUUAUUACCUCGACAUGAUUGAAAACCUACAGAUUGGACACAUCAUCACCCGGUCUGAUGCAGAACGUAUUUUUCUUAGGUCUAUGGAUUUUAUCACCACAUAGACAAGCGUUUAGUAAAUCAUCGGAAUACCGGUAUGAACAACUAUCUGUUAAUAAUUUACAACAAAUAUUAUUAUUUCACUCACCAAGAGUAUUUUUUGAUGUUCCGGGU